GCGGAGCAGCAGUUCCAGCCCCGGGUGUCCCUGGAGCGGUGGCAGCUGCCGGUGGCCGCAGGCAGUGUCCCCUGAGGAGCUGCUGAGGGACGCUGCAGUGAAGAUCCUGAAGACAGCAGGAGGACUGACAGGAGCCAGCAGGGAGAAGCUGAAGGCCACAAGCAGGAGCAGGAGCAGGGAGCUGCUGCUGGCACAGAGCCUGGAUGUGCCAUCUGCUGUCCCUGUCCAGGAGAGCUGCUCUGCACAGGUCCAAGAGCCAGAGGGAGAAGCUUUGAAGAUGGCUCUGUUGGGAUCCCAUUUUCUGAUUAGAGUUCUCCUUAUAGAUAUAUGGACUUGCACAUAGAGAGGGAUAAUUAGAUGGAUAUUGACAUGUGUAGAUUGUUAUUUGUAUGGGAGCAUUUCCAUAUGUCUUUUAUAUUUAUGGACAUGCUAUGUGUAUAUUUGUAUAUAUACAUAUAUGUGUGUAAUUACAUGCAUGUGCAUAUAUGUGUCUAAGUAUGUUGUUAUAUUUGACUUUAGUUCUGUUUCCUGUGUUUUCACUUGUGUAGGUAUCUAUUUGUAUUGAUGCAGAUAUAGGUAUAUAACUCUUUUAAAUGGGUAUAUUGUAUUUCCAUAGGUAUAUGUAUUCUAUUUUUAUAUUUUUAUAUGUAUAUUGAUCUAGUUUUAUGUGUAACUGCAUUUACAUAUGUGUAGAGGUGUAUAGCGGUAUAUUUGUAUUGAUGCACUUGCAUGGAUAUUUAGAUUGGUACAGUGCUAUUUGUAUAUCGAUCGGUUUGGUUUAUAUAUCUACUUACAUAUAAUAUGUAAUGUGUAAUGUUUAAUCUAUAUUUACACUUACAGAUUGUUAUAGUUGUAUAUGUAUUUAUAUGUGCAUACAUAUGUAUAAAAUUCUAUUUAAACAUGUAUGAAGGAGUAGUGUUGUAUAACUUUAUCUGUUGGCUUCUUCGUGUAGGGCUAUUUAGAGAGGGAAUGCAUAUUUUUGUGUUUCUAUAUGGGCUGUAGGCUUGUAUAUAAUAAAUUAAGUUGUUAAUACCUAAUUGAUCUUUGUGUAAUAGUGAGUUGUUGUAGAGUUUUGCAAUAAAUUAAGUUUUUGUUAACUCAAGUUGAUAUUUUUAUAUUUUUGCGUAGCAUUGUUGUACUCAUGUAAUAAAUUCCUUUUUUUAACUUGAACUGGGAUUUGUACAGUUCUGUAUUGUCAGCGCAGGUUUAGCAAUUUGUAAUAAAUGACAUUUUUCAACUG